rnacentral:rRNA from 1 species
ACGGAAGGCAGCAGUAGGGAAUUUUCGGCAAUGGGGGCAACCCUGACCGAGCAACGCCGCGUGAGUGAUGAAGGUUUUCGGAUUGUAAAGCUCUGUUGUAAGGGAAGAAUGUACAAGGAAAACCUUGUAGUGACGGUACCUUACCAGAAAGCCACGGCUAACUACGUGCCAGCAGCCGCGGUAAUACGUAGGUGGCAAGCGUUAUCCGGAUUUAUUGGGCGUAAAGGGUGCGCAGCCGGUUGAUUAAGUUUGAGGUAAAAGCGUGGAGCUUAACUCCAUUACGCCUUGAAAACUGGUCAGCUAGAGUGCAGAAGAGGGUAGUGGAAUUCCAUGUGUAGCGGUAAAAUGCGUAGAUAUAUGGAGGAACACCAGUGGCGAAGGCGGCUACCUGGUCUGUAACUGACGGUCAUGCACGAAAGCGUGGGGAGCAAAUAGGAUUAGAUACCCUGGUA